UACAGAGGUCUCGAGCGUUAGGCGGAAUCACUGGGCUUAAAGCGUGUGUAGGCGGGUCGUUAAGUGCCUUGUGAAAUCCCAUGGCUCAACCAUGGAACUGCUGGGCAUACUGGCGAUCUUGUGCCACCUAGGGCGAGCGGAACAGAUGGUGGAGCGGUGAAAUGCGUAGAUAUCAUCUGGAACGCCAAUGGUGAAACAGCUCGCUGGGGGUGUGCAGACGCUGAGACACGAAAGCCAGGGAGCGAACGGG
rnacentral:rRNA from 1 species